rnacentral:lncRNA from 1 species
AUCCAAUGAGACUGCUCAGUUACUAAGGUCACGAACAUAGUAAUCUAAUGAUAUCGGCCAGCCAUAGCCUACAAAGACUGUAGGCUAUGGUGUGAACUAAUAGGAAUUGAAUGAAAAAGGAACAACCAUUAUGUUCAAGUUAAAAUCAACAGCACAGACAGAAGGAGACAUACCAAAAACCGAACAAGCUGGUCGUUCUCAGGCAGAAGGAGAAACACAAUCAGCCAAAGUUGCAGGUUAUUUAUUGAGAGCCCUUGCACCUGCCAAUAAUGUGAAAGAUGACAUAAUCAUUGCCCCGCGGGACAUCAAUUUUUCAAACCCCCAUAUUGUUAUUUUCAAGUAAAUAAAGGACCAUUGUAAAUAAAUCUGAUAUCAAU